GUGAAAGGGAAACAACCCAGACCGCCAGCUAAGGUCCCCAAUACUGGUUAAGUGGGAAACGAUGUGGGAAGGCACAGACAGCUAGGAGGUUGGCUUAGAAGCAGCCAUCCUUUAAAGAAAGCGUAAUAGCUCACUAGUCGAGUCGGCCUGCGCGGAAGAUUUAACGGGGCUCAAACCAGUAACCGAAGCUGCGGGUGCUCACGCUUGCGUGGGCGCGGUAGCGGAGCGUUCCGUAGGCCAGUGAAGGAGAAUCGGGAGGUUCUCUGGAGGUAUCGGAAGUGCGAAUGCUGACAUGAGUAACGACAAGGGAGGUGAAAAACCUCCCCGCCGGAAGACCAAGGGUUCCUGCGCAACGGUAAUCGGCGCAGGGUGAGUCGGCCCCUAAGGCGAGGGCGAGAGCCGUAGUCGAUGGGAGACUGGUUAAUAUUUCCAGUACCUUUUGUUACUGCGAUGGGGG
rnacentral:rRNA from 1 species